rnacentral:rRNA from 1 species
CCAAUAGCGUAUAUUAAAGUUGUUGCAGUUAAAAAGCUCGUAGUUGAAUUUCGGGAUCAAUAUGUUGGUCGUGCCUUGGUACGUACUGGCGUCAUUGGUUCCUACCUUCUGAAGAACCUCGAUGUCAUUAAUUUGGUGUCUUGGGGAAUCAGGACUGUUACUUUGAAAAAAUUAGAGUGUUUAAAGCAAGCUCACGCUUGAAUACAUUAG